ACGGAGGGUGCAAGCGUUAUCCGGAUUCACUGGGUUUAAAGGGUGCGUAGGCGGGCAGGUAAGUCAGUGGUGAAAUCCUAGAGCUUAACUCUAGAACUGCCAUUGAUACUAUCUGUCUUGAAUAUUGUGGAGGUAAGCGGAAUAUGUCAUGUAGCGGUGAAAUGCUUAGAUAUGACAUAGAACACCUAUUGCGAAGGCAGCUUACUACGCAUAUAUUGACGCUGAGGCACGAAAGCGUGGGGAUCAAACAGGAUUAGAUACCCUGGUAGUCCACGCCCUAAACGAUGGAUACUCGACAUACGCGAUACACUGUGUGUGUCUGAGCGAAAGCAUUAAGUAUCCCACCUGGGAAGUACGACCGCAAGGUUG
rnacentral:rRNA from 1 species